ACGCUAGCUACAGGCUUAACACAUGCAAGUCGAGGGGCAGCACGGAAGAAGCUUGCUUCUUCUGAUGGCGACCGGCGCACGGGUGCGUAACGCGUAUCAAACCUGCCUCAUACUCGGGGAUAGCCUCGCGAAAGUAAGAUUAAUACCCGAUGUUGUUAUGUUUCCGCAUGGUGAUAUAACCAAAGAUUUAUCGGUAUGAGAUGGUGAUGCGUCCGAUUAGGUAGUAGGCGGGGUAACGGCCCACCUAGCCAUCGAUCGGUAGGGGUUCUGAGAGGAAGGUCCCCCACACUGGAACUGAGACACGGUCCAGACUCCUACGGGAGGCAGCAGUGAGGAAUAUUGGUCAAUGGACGGAAGUCUGAACCAGCCAAGUAGCGUGCAGGAUGACAGCCCUCCGGGUUGUAAACUGCUUUUAUUUGGGAAUAAAAAGAGGGACGUGUCCCUCAUUGUAUGUACCUUCAGAAAAAGGACCGGCUAAUUCCGCGCCAGCAGCCGCGGUAAUACGGAAGGUCCAGGCGUUAUCCGGAUUUAUUGGGUUUAAAGGGAGCGUAGGCGGAUUAUUAAGUCAGUGGUGAAAGACGGUGGCUCAACCAUCGUUAGCCAUUGAAACUGGUAGUCUUGAGUGCAGACAGGGAUGCUGGAACUCGUGGUGUAGCGGUGAAAUGCUUAGAUAUCACGAUGAACUCCGAUCGCGAAGGCAGGUGUCCGGGCUGCAACUGACGCUGAGGCUCGAAAGUGUGGGUAUCAAACAGGAUUAGAUACCCUGGUAGUCCACACAGUAAACGAUGUAUACUCGCGGUUUGCGAUACAAUGUAAGCCGCCAAGCGAAAGCAUUAAGUAUACCACCUGGGGAGUACGCCGGCAACGGUGAAACUCAAAGGAAUUGACGGGGGCCCGCACAAGCGGAGGAACAUGUGGUUU
rnacentral:rRNA from 1 species